rnacentral:rRNA from 1 species
UACGUAGGGGGCUAGCGUUGUCCGGAAUCAUUGGGCGUAAAGCGCGUGUAGGCGGUCCGGUAAGUCCGCUGUGAAAGUCGGGGGCUCAACCCUCGAAAGCCGGUGGAUACUGUUGGGCUAGAGUACGGAAGAGGCGAGUGGAAUUCCUGGUGUAGCGGUGAAAUGCGCAGAUAUCAGGAGGAACACCAAUUGCGAAGGCAGCUCGCUGGGACGUUACUGACGCUGAGACGCGAAAGCGUGGGGAGCAAACAGA